rnacentral:RNase_P_RNA from 1 species
CGAGCCGGGCGGACGGCCGCGUGGAGUCCCCUUGAGGGGCUUCCCGAGGAACGUCCGGGCUCCACAGGGCAGGGUGGUGGCUAACGGCCACCCGGGGUGACCCGCGGGACAGUGCCACAGAAAACAGACCGCCGGGGGCUGCGCUCUUUUGAAGAGGGCGGUCCUCGGUAAGGGUGAAACGGUGGUGUAAGAGACCACCAGUGCCCAGGGUGACCUGGGCAGCUAGGUAAACCCCACCCGGAGCAAGGUCAAAAGGAAACACCCCGGUGUUUCUGCGCGGACGAUCGAGGGCUGCCCGCCCGAGUCCGCGGGUAGACCGCACGAGGCCGGCGGCAACGCCGGCCCUAGAUGGAUGGCCGUCGCCCCGGCGCCCGCGAGGGCACCGGGGAACAGAACCCGGCGUACAGCCCGACUCGUCUG